rnacentral:lncRNA from 1 species
CGGUGGUGGUGAAAAUGAAGAAUUUUGAUAUGGAUUUUCUUUCACAAAAAAAAGAAUAGAAGGUGAUUAAACUUUUCAGAGAGAGAGAGGAUUUGGAUGGAGUGCUUGCAAUUAUAUCAUUGAAAAAGAAGACCAGAGGAUAAUGGAAAGGAAAAAUGGCAAAAGUGGAUUAAAAAAUGGCAAUAGUGGAUUAAAAAUUGUAAAGAAAAUUAACCUAUAUUUGUUAAGAAAAUUAAAUUAAUAGCACAUCUAGUAUUAUACAUUUUUUUAUCAUUUCAUAUAGUCACAGCUGUUUUACAUAAAAGUUUACCAAACAUUAUCAUACUGCUUUUUUUUUCAAAAGCACUUUUACAAAAAAGUUUACCAAACACUCUGCUGCUUUAUUUCACAAUCACUUAUUCUCACAGUACAGCAGAAGCAACUUUUUUUUCAAAGCACAGCAGAAGCAGCUUUAUUUAGACUGAUGAUGAAUAGUUCGUUGUUGUUUACUUUGUUCUAUGUUUUAUGGUUUAAUAACAGACCUUUGCAAGAGUUGAAAAUGAUAUAUGUUUAUGAUUUUCCUAAUUAAAAAAAAAAGAAAAAAAAGUGUGAAUCUAUUGGAAUGAUCAUGGCUUUUAUGUACUGUUAUGCUCAAACUGUCAAAUAGGUUGGAAUGGUUCUGGACAUAAAUAUAUAUAGAUAUAUUUAAAGGGAAUUUUUAUUUAAGUCCAUCUAAUCUAUUUCUACACAAAACUUCGUUUUUGCACCAAUUUGAUUUAUAACUAAACUAUUAAUAUCUCUUUAAACCCAAAUUUAAUACUUAAUAUACCCCCAUAAACCCAAUUCAAUAUGUAGAUUUAUUUUUACACCCAUUUCUUCAACAAUAUACCACCAUAUUUACUGACUGCAGCAAUGGAAGCUUCAAGCGCUUCAGCCCAAUUCUUUGAGGUGACAACUAAUUGGGUGCUUGCUUUCAAUUGAACGUAGGCUACCUUACAAAAUAUAUCAUACCUGUUUCAAGAAUAGAGAUGUAAAAAUUCAUGUCAGGGUAAAUGCAGGGAAACUUCAAAAAUUAUGUCUAACUUAUUGAAGAAAAGGGGAAGUUGAAUACAGGAUCCCACUUAUGCCCCCCAUAACUCUUCUGAUAGAUGAUCCAAUUUUAUUGACUGUUUCGGUUGCAUCAUUCAGAGGAUAACUGCAAAACAAUAAUAAGUAUAAGACCUUUGAUUAUUACUGAUAAAUUGUCGAAAUGCUUGUGAAAAACCAUUUUAAGUUAGUCUUCUAUUGAAAGAAGAUGGUAACCACUUAAAAAGAUUUUUCAUAAGCAUAUCAAUAAUCGAAUAAGAAAGAAAACUGAAAAUCAAACGUACUUUUCAUGUCUUCCAAAACUGCUGUUGCACCUCUAUACAUCUGCAAUCGAAAACACAGGUACAAUAAAUGCUAAACUUCAAGGUUACCUAGGCACACAGGUACAAUAAAUGCUGCAAGCUCUUGGAAUCUCACUCCUUUGCACCAGCAACCGGACGGAGGAUCGUCCCAUGAUAAAGGGCAUAAGGUUUAAUUAUAGUGUUUGGGUUUAUUGAUAAAUUCAAGUUUUAUUAUUAAUUUCAUUUUGUACUUAAUAGUAAUUAUGCAAUAGAGUAAAAUAGACAAUUAACAUUUAAAAUUUAAGUGAGGUGUAAAAAGAGAUUAAAUGGGUUUAAAUAAAAUUUCCCAUAUUUAAAUUUGUUCAAAAAAAUAACGUUGAUAUCAUUUUCGUUUUUACUAUUACCUUUUAUUUCUUGUGUUUCAUUUAAGUUGGUUAGACUCCUAAUUUCAUGUGCUGUACUUUUUCCUUUGUCAAAUUUUUUAUUUAUUUUCAAUGCUUUUGUUAAUUUCAACGAUUCUAUAAUUUUGGGUUUUGUUUCUUUUGUGCGUUUCCACUGACUUAAUGGUUUUGCAUAUGGUGGAGGAUUCUCUCCCCUCCUAAUCUCUCUUCUCUUCCCUUCCCUUCCCUUUCCUCCCAUCCUAUUCAAACGGUUAAGGUUUAGCUAUGUCAACAUCUUACAUUGAUUUUUUUAUAAAGACAAUAAGAUAAAAAACAAUAUGUGAGAGAAUGGGAGGGAAGGAGAUGAGAAUAGGAGGGGAGAGAAUUCUCCUCCGUUGCAUAUAAGUGUAACUUAUUGUCAUUUAUUUCUAUAACCUUUUCCAAUUGUUUUGAUUUUAUAAAUCUAUAUAUUAUUAGUGAUAACCUCAUUAUUAUUUUGGUAAAAUUAUUUGAGAAGGAUGGCUGGAGUAGAAGUUUUCGCUGACUAUGGUAUGAAAGGCAAUAUGGGAGUACUAUUAGCUUUUCAGGUAUGGCAUCUGCCAUUCGUGAGUCGAACCAAUACAACCAUUUGCUUCGUCAAGAAACUGAGCAUGACCAAAUAAUGAGGAUUCAAGAGGAAUUUCGUAAGACUCGACCUUCAGUAUUUAAGGGUGAUCUGAAUCUUAUUCAAGCAGAGGAAUGGUUACGACAAAUUAGUAGAAAGAUGAAUGAUCAUAGGUGUGGAUGUAAAUUUUCGCCUUCUACUUUUUAGAUGAAAAUGUACAUGUAAAACAGUUAACACCUUAGGUCAAAGCCAAGAGUCUCACGCACCCACGAUGAAUUGGGGGGGAAGGAGGGGGUUUGGCCGAAGAGCCUCCGAUGCCAAAGUUAGAAUUUGAGAGAGCAUGUGUUUAGAUAAAUUUGGAGAAUUUUAGAAGAGAAUUGGACUUCGGUUUCUGGAGAAAUGUGGAUGUUUAUAUAGGGAUGUGGCCAGCCCCUUGAUGCGAUGAAAGUUAAGCACUCAAAUUAAACCCUCUUGUUGUCAAAUUGUAGUAAUAAUGCAAGUAGGGAUCGUUCUAAACCGGGGAUUAGGAGGGCUUGCUAAAACCUCUAAACUAACUAAAAAACUUAAAAACAAAGUUAAAAAUGUUUGAAUAGACUUAAAGGACUCAAAACAGAUUCACAAGACUCAAAACAACUUAAAAACACUCAAAACUGCCUAAAAACACAAACUAGGCAGUUUCUGACUCUAACACAACUUUGGACGAAAUUUGGGUUUUGACUUGACUCAAAACACUCUAAAACACAAACAAAACAGAUUUUAAACACUUUGAAACAAGAAAGUAAAAGGGGGAUUUUAGUUUUGGUGAAU